UGAAAUCUUUCAUGUCGAGUUCAGUUUGUGACAUAUAUAGCUGAUAAGGUGAGAACAGUGAAAAAACCCAACUAGAUCAUCAACCACAUGUAAGAUAUAAAGUUAGGCAAAUUCGUAGACCAAAAUACAUAAGUAUCGUAUUGUCUUCCUCCACAUAAAUGUGCUACCUCGAUGCAUGUCUUUGGGCUAAAUAAACAAUACAUAUAAUUGAAAGUUUGCAAGCCUAUGAAGGAAUUUUGCUUCACUAAACAGGGUCCACUUUAGCAAAGAUCAAAAUAUGAAGAAGUCACUGCACGACAUGCCCCAUACCAAGCUGUUCAGCACUUCGGUUAGAGUUUUUCCUGAUUAGUUUCACCGCUUUAUUUCACCCCUUCACGUUCCACACAAGUUUGAUGAUCUCGGUAGAGGCGUAUUGCUAAGGAUAACCAUAUGUGGCCUAACAUGCUUUCUGAUGCCAUCCAUUCCGAGGACACAAGCAACUCACCCUCUAUGGCUUGCCUCCCAUUCGGCAUAAGCAACGUCGGGAUUUGGCCAAGGUUAUCGAGCUUGUGUUCUACACAAGGGGAAAAUGAGUGAUGCACAUAUGUAGCAGCAUCAUAAUACUUGAGGAAUAGAACCGAGAAGCUGGAGUUAUUUAAGAAUGGAGAGACACCUUGGAGGAAGUUAUAAGAGUCGUUGAACCUUUUAUGACAUGGGUGAAGUCUUCGUGGAGGUGUUGCACAUGGAUGAAUUUACAACGCCAUGCAAAUGAGCCGGAUACACACAUGGCACUGUCGAAUCUAAAAAGAAACUAAUUUGGUGU
rnacentral:lncRNA from 1 species